AUGGUUACUCUGUCUAAACAAGACGUGACAUAAAAUGAAUGAAAAAUCAAGGAAGUAAUACAUAAUACAAUACCGAAAUAGUGACGGCUUCCGUAGGAAUCACUUAGUAGCUUGUGAAAGAAAAAAAGAGAGUAGUUUAUGGUCUUUCUCACAAUUUGUAUUUCUCGUGUUUUAGGGAGACAACUGGGGCUUCAAUGAAUCCAGUGAGAACCCUCGGACCAGCAGUAGCAGUAGGAAACUAUAAAGCCAUCUGGAUCUACCUUACUGCUCCGAUUCUUGGCGCUCUCAUUGGGGCAGGCGUUUACUCUGCUGUCAAACUACCUGAUGAAGACAGAGACAAUCAUCCAAAGCCUUCCCGAAUCAUCUGAUUCAUUUUUUUUAUUCCAAGCAACAGAUUAAACCAUCUGGAGUACUUUAGCUUGAACAGAUUGAUCGGGUCUCCGGCGUAUGAAGGAUGAUUUGUACAGAGAAAAUGCGAGAGCAGCGAUAAGAGUACCAAAGACGUCGGCAACAGCGUCCUUGGUAGAUGCACCUGCUGACCUGAAAAAACCCAGUUCGUCGGCAACCUCCUUAGCGGCGCCGGCAGCGAGUGAAACAAUAGAUCCGACCCAGAUGCUCCGGCGGCGGAUGAAAGAGUAGCGAGUUCUUUCCGCGAGAAAAGAUGAAAUGAUAGCAAUGAAGAAGCAGAAGAGUAUGUGGUAGAGCUUAUCAGGGGCUGUCCAAUCAUCUCCUUCCUCCAUUCCUUCUUUCAG
rnacentral:misc_RNA from 1 species